rnacentral:rRNA from 1 species
ACGGAAGGCAGCAGUGGGGAAUAUUGCACAAUGGGCGCAAGCCUGAUGCAGCGAUGCCGCGUGAGGGAAGAAGGUUUUCGGAUUGUAAACCUCUGUCAACAGGGACGAAAAUGACGGUACCUGUGAAGGGAGCUCCGGCUAACUACGUGCCAGCAGCCGCGGUAGUACGUAGGGAGCAAGCGUUAUCCGGAAUUACUGGGUGUAAAGGGAGUGUAGGCGGGACUGUAAGUCAGAUGUGAAAUAUGCCGGCUCAACUGGCAGACUGCAUUUGAAACUGCGGUUCUUGAGUGAAGUAGAGGUAAGCGGAAUUCCUAGUGUAGCGGUGAAAUGCGUAGAUAUUAGGAGGAACAUCAGUGGCGAAGGCGGCUUACUGGGCUUUAACUGACGCUGAGGCUCGAAAGCGUGGGGAGCAAACAGGAUUAGAUACCCUGGUA